rnacentral:rRNA from 1 species
GGUGAGUAACACGUGGGUAACCUGCCUGUAAGACUGGGAUAACUCCGGGAAACCGGGGCUAAUACCGGAUGGUUGUUUGAACCGCAUGGUUCAAACAUAAAAGGUGGCUUCGGCUACCACUUACAGAUGGACCCGCGGCGCAUUAGCUAGUUGGUGAGGUAACGGCUCACCAAGGCAACGAUGCGUAGCCGACCUGAGAGGGUGAUCGGCCACACUGGGACUGAGACACGGCCCAGACUCCUACGGGAGGCAGCAGUAGGGAAUCUUCCGCAAUGGACGAAAGUCUGACGGAGCAACGCCGCGUGAGUGAUGAAGGUUUUCGGAUCGUAAAGCUCUGUUGUUAGGGAAGAACAAGUACCGUUCGAAUAGGGCGGUACCUUGACGGUACCUAACCAGAAAGCCACGGCUAACUACGUGCCAGCAGCCGCGGUAAUACGUAGGUGGCAAGCGUUGUCCGGAAUUAUUGGGCGUAAAGGGCUCGCAGGCGGUUUCUUAAGUCUGAUGUGAAAGCCCCCGGCUCAACCGGGGAGGGUCAUUGGAAACUGGGGAACUUGAGUGCAGAAGAGGAGAGUGGAAUUCCACGUGUAGCGGUGAAAUGCGUAGAGAUGUGGAGGAACACCAGUGGCGAAGGCGACUCUCUGGUCUGUAACUGACGCUGAGGAGCGAAAGCGUGGGGAGCGAACAGGAUUANAUACCCUGGUAGUCCACGCC